rnacentral:rRNA from 1 species
GACGGAGGGUGCAAGCGUUGUUCGGAUUGACUGGGCGUAAAGGGCGUGUAGGCGGUUGGCCAAGUCUGAUGUGAAAGCCCGAGGCUCAGCCUCGGAAGUGCGUCGGAAACUAGUCGGCUGGAGCGCGAUAGAGGAGGGUGGAAUUCCUGGUGUAGCGGUGAAAUGCGUAGAUAUCAAGAGGAACACCUGCGGCGAAGGCGGGUUGCUGGGCCGACACUGACGCUGAGGCGCGAAAGCCAGGGGAGCGAACGGG